rnacentral:lncRNA from 1 species
GCAACCGAUUUAACAGGCCACUGAUAGGCGGCACCAAAGGUGCCAUUCCCAUGGGCGGCACCGGUGGUGCCAUUCCCAUGGGCGGCACUGCUCUUAUAAUGGGGACCAUUCGGCUGGUGGGUGGGGGGAACAGAAGGAGAGGGAAAGAAGAAGAAAGAAAUAAAGAAAAAGAAGGAAAGAAAACGAAAGGAGAAGAAGAAAAAAUAAUGAAAAAUAAGGAAAGAAAAGGAAAGGAGAAGAGAAAAAAAAAAGAAGAAGAAGAGGGGAGGAAGGAAAAAGAAAGAAAGAAAAGGUAAUUUUUUAUUAUUAAUUUUAUUUUAUUUUGUAAUAUUUGUGUGUAAAAAAAUUAUGUUAUAUACAUUAUACGUGUUUUAUUAUGUUAUUUAGC